rnacentral:rRNA from 1 species
AUUGAACGCUGGCGGCAGGCCUAACACAUGCAAGUCGAGCGAGCGGCGGACGGGUGAGUAAUGUAUGGGGACUGCCCGAUAGAGGGGGAUAACUACUGGAAACGGUGGCUAAUACCGCAUACUAUCGGAUAACCCAUAUGGGAUUAGCUAGUAGGGGGGGUAAAGGCUCACCUAGGCGACGAUCUCUAGCUGGUCUGAGAGGAUGAUCAGCCACACUGGGACUGAGACACGGCCCGUGCUCCUGCGGAGGCAGCAGUGGGGGAUAUUGCACAAUGGGCGCAAGCCUGAUGGAUCCAUGCCGCGUGUAUGAAGGAGGCCUUAGGGGUGUAAAGUACUUUCAGCGGGGAGGCGUUACCCGCAGAAGAAACACCGGCUAACUCCGUGCCAGCAGCCGCGGUAAUUC